AAAACAAACACUGAUUGUUGUAUAGCGGCUUCUAACUGCUGUGUGGGUGGUUUAAUUCCAUUCUUGUUUUA
rnacentral:tRNA from 1 species